AACGAACGCUGGCGGCAGGCCUAACACAUGCAAGUCGAGCGCGCCCUUCGGGGUGAGCGGCGGACGGGUGAGUAACGCGUGGGAACGUGCCCUUUUCUACGGGAUAGCCUCGGGAAACUGAGAGUAAUACCGUAUACGCCCUUUGGGGGAAAGAUUUAUCGGAAAAGGAUCGGCCCGCGUUGGAUUAGGUAGUUGGUGGGGUAAUGGCCUACCAAGCCGACGAUCCAUAGCUGGUUUGAGAGGAUGAUCAGCCACACUGGGACUGAGACACGGCCCAGACUCCUACGGGAGGCAGCAGUGGGGAAUCUUAGACAAUGGGGGCAACCCUGAUCUAGCCAUGCCGCGUGAGUGAUGAAGGCCUUAGGGUUGUAAAGCUCUUUCAGCUGGGAAGAUAAUGACGGUACCAGCAGAAGAAGCCCCGGCUAACUCCGUG
rnacentral:rRNA from 1 species